rnacentral:rRNA from 1 species
CCUGGUUGAUCCUGCCAGUAGUCAUAUGCUUGUCUCAAAGAUUAAGCCAUGCAUGUCUAAGUAUGAACUAAUUCAGACUGUGAAACUACGGAUGUCUCAUUAAAUCGGUUAUAGUUUUUUUGAUGGUACCAUACUACUCAGAUAACCAUAGUAAUUCUAGAGCUAAUACGUGCACCAAGUCUCGACUCUUUGGAAGGGAUGCAUUUUUUAGAUAAAAGGCCGACGCGGGCUUGCUCGCUUCUCCGGUGAAUCAUGAUAACUCAACAGAUUGCACAGCCCUUGUGUUGGCGAUGCUUCAUUCAAAUUUCUGCCCAAUCAACUUUCGAUGGCAAGAUAGAGGCCUACCAUGGUGGUGAUGGGUGACAGAGAAUUAGGGUUCGAUUUCGGAGAGGGAGCUUGAGAAACGACUACCACAUCCAAGGAAGGCAGCAGGUGCGCAAAUUACCCAAUCCUGACAUGGGGAGGUAGUGAAAAUAAAUAACAAUACUGGGCUCAUCGAGUUUGGUAAUUGGAAUGAGUACAAUCUAAAUCCCUUAAUGAGGAUCCAUUGGAGGGCAAGCCUGGUGCCAGCAGUCGCGGUAAUUCCAGCUCCAAUAGUGUAUAUUUAAGUUGUUGCAGUUAAAAAGCUUGUAGUUGGAUCUUGGGUCGUAAAGGUCGGUCCGCCUACUCGGUGUGCACAUGCCCUUCUAUCCAUUUUGUCAGCGGCGUGCUCUUGGCCUUGAUUGGCUGGGUCACGACUUCGGCCCUGUUACUUUGAAACAAUUAGAGUGCUCAAAGAAAGCUUAUGCUCUGAAUACAUUAGCAUGGAAUAACGUGAUAGGAGUCUGGUCCUAUUGUGUUGGCCUUCGGGACUAGAGUAACGAUUAAUAGGGAUUGUCGGGGGCAUUCGUAUUUCAUUGUCAGAGGUGAAAUUCUUGGAUUUAUGAAAGACGGACCACUACGAAAGAAUUUUCCAAGGAUGUUUUCAUUAAUCAAGAAUGAAAUUUGGGGGCUCGAAGACGAUCAGAUACCAUCCUAGUCUCAACCUUAAACGAUGCCAACCAGGGAUCGACAAAUGUUGCUCUAAGGACUCUGCCAGCACCUUCUGAGAAAUUAGAGUGUUUGGGUUCCGAGGGGAGUAUGGUCGCAAGGUUGAAACUUAAAGGAAUUGAUGGAAGGACACCACCAGGAGUGGAGCCUGCGGCUUAAUUUGACUCAACACGGGGAAACUUACCAAGUCUAGACAUACAAAGGAUUGACAGAUUGAGAGCUCUUUCUUGAUUCUAUGGGUGGUGGUGCAUGGCUGUUCUUAGUUGGUGAAGUGAUUUGUUUGGUUAAUUCCGAUAACGAACGAGACCCUAGCUUGGUAUUCAACGAUGAAUUCCUAGUAAGCGCAUGUUAUCAAAUCGUGUUGACUAUGUCCCUGCCCUUUGUACACACCGCCCAUCACUCCUACCUAUUGAAUGAUCCGGUGAAGUGUUCAGAUUGCGUCGACGAUGGUGGUUUGCCACCGUCGACGUCGUGAGAAGUUCAUUGAACCUUAUCAUCUAGAGGAAGGAGAAGUUGUAACAAGGUUACUAUAGGUGAACCUGUGGUAG